UUGGAGGGCCAGUCUGGUGCCAGCAGCCGCGGUAAUUCCAGCUCCAAUAGCGUAUAUUAAAGUUGUUGCAGUUAAAAAGCUCGUAGUUGAAUUUCGGGAUCAGCAAGUUGGUCGUGCCUCUGGUACGUACUGUCUUCACUGGUUCCUCCUUCUUGAAGAACUGUAAUGUCAUUAAUUUGGUGUUGCAGGGAAACAGGACUGUUACUUUGAAAAAAUUAGAGUGUUUAAAGCAAGCUAACGCUUGAAUACAUUAGCAUGGAAUAAUGAAAUAGGACGUUUGAUCCUAUUUUGUUGGUUUCUAGGAUUGACGUAAUGAUUAAUAGGGAUAGUUGGGGGCAUUAGUAUUCAAUUGUCAGAGGUGAAAUUCUUGGAUUUAUUGAAGACUAACUACUGCGAAAGCAUUUGCCAAGGAUGUUUUCAUUAAUCAAGAACGAAAGUUAGGGGAUCGAAGACGAUCAGAUACCGUCGUAGUCUUAGCCAUAAACUAUGCCGACUAGGGAUCGGAUGAUGUUAAUUUUUUAAUGACUCAUUCGGCGCCUUACGGGAAAC
rnacentral:rRNA from 1 species